UGGGGAAUAUUGCACAAUGGGGGAAACCCUGAUGCAGCAACGCCGCGUGAGUGAUGACGGUCUUCGGAUUGUAAAGCUCUGUUUUCAGGGACGAUAAUGACGGUACCUGAGGAGGAAGCCACGGCUAACUACGUGCCAGCAGCCGCGGUAAUACGUAGGUGGCAAGCGUUGUCCGGAUUUACUGGGUUUAAAGGGUCCGUAGGCGGACUUAUAAGUCAGUGGUGAAAGCCUGUCGCUUAACGAUAGAACUGCCAUUGAUACUGUAAGUCUUGAGUAUAUUUGAGGUAGCUGGAAUAAGUAGUGUAGCGGUGAAAUGCAUAGAUAUUACUUAGAACACCAAUUGCGAAGGCAGGUUACCAAGAUAUAACUGACGCUGAGGGACGAAAGCGUGGGGAGCGAACA
rnacentral:rRNA from 1 species